rnacentral:rRNA from 1 species
AGCGGCGCAAGGGAGAGGUAACGCGUGGAUACGUACCUUCAGGUCCCGGGGAUAGCUGUGGGAAACUUCCAGGGUAAAUACCCGGAUUAACAUUCUGUGUCUUUAAAAAAUAUGGAUCAAAAGGGGUGAUUCCACCUGAGGAAGCCGGUCCGCGUCCCUAUUAGUUGUGUUGGUGGGGGAACCGGCCUACCCAAGAGCAAUGAUGGGUACCCGGGUGUGAGAGCAUGCCCCGGCUCAACUGGGACUGAGACACUGCCCAGACACCUACGGGGGGGCUGCAGUCGAGAAUCUUCCGCAAUGGGCGAAAGCCUGACGGAGCGACGCCGCGUGCGGGAUGAAGGCCUUCGGGUUGUAAACCCGCUGUCAGAGGGGAGUAAGUGAAGGGGGUUAUCCCCUGGAUCUGAACUAUCCUCAGAGGAAGGACGGGCUAAGUUCGUGCCAGCAGCCGCGGUAAGACGAACCGUCCAAACGUUAUUCGGAAUCACUGGGCUUAAAGGGUGCGUAGGCGGCCCUGCAAGUUGGGUGUGAAAUCCCACGGCUCAACCGUGGAAUUGCGCCCAAAACUGCAGGACUUGAGGGAGACAGAGGUGAGCGGAACUUAUGGUGGAGCGGUGAAAUGCGUUGAUAUCAUAAGGAACACCGGUGGCGAAGGCGGCUCACUGGGUCUCUUCUGACGCUGAGGCACGAAAGCUAGGGUAGCGAACAGGAUUAGAUACCCUGGUAGUCCUAGCUGUAAACGAUGAGCACCUGUUCGAGGG